rnacentral:rRNA from 1 species
CGAGGCAAAUCCGGGCGCAUGACUCAAGGGUGUGGCGCGAGCGAACAAGUUUCGCGAAGUGACUGGAAGUGGUUCCAAGAAAAGCCUCUAAGCUUCAGCUGUACGAGACCGUACCGCAAACCGACACAGGUGGACGGGAUGAAUAUUCCAAGGCGCUUGAGAGAACUCGGGAGAAGGAACUCGGCAAAUUGAUACCGUAACUUCGGGAGAAGGUAUGCCCCGGUAGUGUGAGGCGCCUGCGCGCCGAGCAUGAUGGGGUCGCAGAGAAUCGGUGGCUGCGACUGUUUAUUAAAAACACAGCACUCUGCAAAGACGAAAGUCGACGUAUAGGGUGUGACGCCUGCCCGGUGCCGGAAGGUUAAGUGAUGGGGUGCAAGCUCUUGAUCGAAGCCCCGGUAAACGGCGGCCGUAACAAUAACGGUCCUAGGUAGCGAAAUUCCUUGUCGGGUAAGUUCCGACCUGCACGAAUGGCGUAACGAUGGCCACACUGUCUCCUCCCGAGACUCAGCGAAGUUGAAGUGUUUGUGAUGAUGCAAUCUACCCGCGGCUAGACGGAAAGACCCCAUGAACCUUUACUGUAGCUUUGCAUUGGACUGUGAACCGGCCUGUGUAGGAUAGGUGGGAGGCGCUGAAGCGUGGUCGCUAGAUCAUGUGGAGCCAACCUUGAAAUACCACCCUGGUUUGUUUGCGGUUCUAACCUUGGCCCGUUAUCCGGGUCGGGGACAGUGCAUGGUGGGCAGUUUGACUGGGGCGGUCUCCUCCCAAAGCGUAACGGAGGAGUUCGAAGGUACGCUAGGUACGGUCGGAAAUCGUGCUGAUAGUGCAAUGGCAUAAGCGUGCUUGACUGUGAGACUGACAAGUCGAACAGGUGCGAAAGCAGGACAUAGUGAUCCGGUGGUUCUGAAUGGAAGGGCCAUCGCUCAACGGAUAAAAGGUACUCUGGGGAUAACAGGCUGAUACCGCCCAAGAGUUCAUAUCGACGGCGGUGUUUGGCACCUCGAUGUCGGCUCAUCUCAUCCUGGGGCUGUAGCCGGUCCCAAGGGUAUGGCUGUUCGCCAUUUAAAGAGGUACGUGAGCUGGGUUUAAAACGUCGUGAGACAGUUUGGUCCCUAUCUGCCGUGGGCGUUGGAUACUUGACGGAGCCUGCUCCUAGUACGAGAGGACCGGAGUGGACGUACCUCUGGUGUACCGGUUGUCAUGCCAAUGGCAUUGCCGGGUAGCUAUGUACGGAAGAGAUAACCGCUGAAGGCAUCUAAGCGGGAAACUCGUCUGAAGAUUAGGUAUCCCGGGGCCUCGAGCCCCCUGAAGGGUCGUUCAAGACCAGGACGUUGAUAGGUCGGGUGUGGAAGCGCAGUAAUGCGUUAAGCUAACCGAUACUAAUUGCCCGUGAGGCUUGAUCCU